CCAAUAGCGUAUAUUAAGGUUGCUGCGGUUAAAAAGCUCGUAGUUGAAUUUCGGAAUUGAUGCAUCGGUCGUGCCUUAAGGGGCAUGAACUGGUGUAGCCAAUUUCUCACCUUCUGGUGAAUUGUGAUGUUCUUAAUGGGUGUCUCAAUGAACUAGAAUUUUUUACUUUGAAAAAAUUAGAGUGUUUAAAGCAGGCAUUA
rnacentral:rRNA from 1 species